rnacentral:rRNA from 1 species
GGCGGCAUGCCUAACACAUGCAAGUCGAACGAGACUUCGGGUCUAGUGGCGCACGGGUGCGUAACGCGUGGGAAUCUGCCCUCUGGUACGGAAUAACUCAGGGAAACUUGAGCUAAUACCGUAUAAUGACUUCGGUCCAAAGAUUUAUCGCCUGAGGAUGAGCCCGCGUAGGAUUAGCUUGUUGGUGAGGUAAAGGCUCACCAAGGCGACGAUCCUUAGCUGGUCUGAGAGGAUGAUCAGCCACACUGGGACUGAGACACGGCCCAGACUCCUACGGGAGGCAGCAGUGGGGAAUAUUGGACAAUGGGCGCAAGCCUGAUCCAGCAAUGCCGCGUGAGUGGUGAAGGCCUUAGGGUUGUAAAGCUCUUUUACCCGGGAUGAUAAUGACAGUACCGGGAGAAUAAGCCCCGGCUAACUCCGUGCCAGCAGCCGCGGUAAUACG